AAAGAAGGAAAAAAGAGAUACAUUACAAAUUUUCUCAUUAGUAUCUCUUGAAGACACAAUCUAGGGCAUAAUUUUCAAGCACACUUAUUUCUUGCUUGAUAUGCAGAUACCAACUUUUACGACCUUCAUUCACUUAGUUUAGGACUGUGCUUACAAAUGUUUCGAACUACCCAGUGACUGUUACAAUAUUAUAGCCAAAUUAAGGACUGGGACUAUUUUUCUUUGUUAUAUGUGAUUAAUGUCGGAAAACUUCAGCUCAUAUACUCUAAAUAAGUAUUUUCAAACUUACACAUCUUUGGCUUAUCAUAAUUGAGCAGAGUCCUAAGUUUGAAAAUUGAAAUGCAA
rnacentral:misc_RNA from 1 species